CGGAUUGCAGCCUGCAACUCGGCUGCAUGAGGCUGGAAUCGCUAGUAAUCGCGGAUCAGAAUGCCGCGGUGAAUACGUUCCCGGGUCUUGUACACACCGCCCGUCACACCAUGGGAGUAGGUAAUGCCCGAAGUCGGUGACCUAACCGGAAGGAAGGAGCCGCCGAAGGCAGGACUUAUAACUGGGGUGAAGUCGUAACAAGGUACC
rnacentral:rRNA from 1 species